GGUUAAGUUAGAAAGGGCGCACGGUGGAUGCCUUGACACUAGGAGUCGAUGAAGGACGGGACUAACGCCGAUAUGCUUCGGGGAGCUGUAAGUAAGCUUUGAUCCGAAGAUUUCCGAAUGGGGAAACCCACCAUACGUAAUGGUAUGGUAUCCUUAUCUGAAUACAUAGGGUAAGGAAGACAGACCCAGGGAACUGAAACAUCUAAGUACCUGGAGGAAGAGAAAGCAAAUGCGAUUUCCUGAGUAGCGGCGAGCGAAACGGAACAUAGCCCAAACCAAGAGGCUUGCCUCUUGGGGUUGUAGGACAUUCUAUACGGAGUUACAAAGGAACGAGGUAGACGAAGCGACCUGGAAAGGUCCGUCGUAGAGGGUAACAACCCCGUAGUCGAAACUUCGUUCUCUCUUGAAUGUAUCCUGAGUACGGCGGAACACGUGAAAUUCCGUCGGAAUCUGGGAGGACCAUCUCCCAAGGCUAAAUACUCCCUAGUGAUCGAUAGUGAACCAGUACCGUGAGGGAAAGGUGAAAAGCACCCCGGAAGGGGAGUGAAAGAGAUCCUGAAACCGUGUGCCUACAAAUAGUCAGAGCCCGUUAACGGGUGAUGGCGUGCCUUUUGUAGAAUGAACCGGCGAGUUACGAUCCCGUGCGAGGUUAAGCUGAAGAGGCGGAGCCGCAGCGAAAGCGAGUCUGAAUAGGGCGUUUAGUACGUGGUCGUAGACCCGAAACCAGGUGAUCUACCCAUGUCCAGGGUGAAGUUCAGGUAACACUGAAUGGAGGCCCGAACCCACGCACGUUGAAAAGUGCGGGGAUGAGGUGUGGGUAGCGGAGAAAUUCCAAUCGAACCUGGAGAUAGCUGGUUCUCCCCGAAAUAGCUUUAGGGCUAGCCUUAAGUGUAAGAGUCUUGGAGGUAGAGCACUGAUUGGACUAGGGGUCCUCAUCGGAUUACCGAAUUCAGUCAAACUCCGAAUGCCAAUGACUUAUCCUUAGGAGUCAGACUGCGAGUGAUAAGAUCCGUAGUCAAAAGGGAAACAGCCCAGACCGCCAGCUAAGGUCCCAAAGUGUGUAUUAAGUGGAAAAGGAUGUGGAGUUGCUUAGACAACUAGGAUGUUGGCUUAGAAGCAGCCACCAUUUAAAGAGUGCGUAAUAGCUCACUAGUCGAGUGACUCUGCGCCGAAAAUGUACCGGGGCUAAAUACACCACCGAAGCUGCGGAUUGAUACCAAUGGUAUCAGUGGUAGGGGAGCGUUCUAAGGACAGUGAAGUCAGACCGGAAGGACUGGUGGAGUGCUUAGAAGUGAGAAUGCCGGUAUGAGUAGCGAAAGACGGGUGAGAAUCCCGUCCACCGAAUGCCUAAGGUUUCCUGAGGAAGGCUCGUCCGCUCAGGGUUAGUCAGGACCUAAGCCGAGGCCGACAGGCGUAGGCGAUGGACAACAGGUUGAUAUUCCUGUACCACCUCUUUAUCGUUUGAGCAAUGGAGGGACGCAGAAGGAUAGAAGAAGCGUGCGAUUGGUUGUGCACGUCCAAGCAGUUAGGCUGAUAAGUAGGCAAAUCCGCUUAUCGU
rnacentral:rRNA from 1 species